rnacentral:ncRNA from 1 species
UAAAUGGCUGUGAAAGAGACAAGUACUUAACUCCAAGCUUGCAGAGAGUCGGUGGAUGGUGAAAACUGACACUUGGGAUAAUUACACUCACUCUUGAGCCUCAGACCUGAAACACCAGUAGGGUCUGACGUCUGGUCUGCGUUAAAGACAUCCUAAGAGACAGCGGAAGCUGUAAUUAAGGUGGUACCGCGGGAAUAUACGCCCGUCCUUAUU